UAGAGUUUGAUCCUGGCUCCAAUCAACGCUGGCGGCGUGCCUAACACCUGCAAGUCGAACGAGAAAGCGGAGCAAUCCAUGAGUAAAGUGGCGACCGGGUGAGUAACACGUGACCAACCUACCCUCGAGUGGGGAACAACCUCGGGAAACCGGGGCUAAUACCGCAUAAUGUCUUUGGGGUGCAAUUCCCUGGGGAUCAAAGGAGCAAUUCGCUUGAGGAGGGGGUCGCGGCUGAUUAGCUAGUUGGCGGGGUAAUGGCCCACCAAGGCGAAGAUCGGUAGCCGGCCUGAGAGGGCGCACGGCCACACUGGAACUGAAACACGGUCCAAACUCCUACGGGAGGCACCUUUGGGGAAUUUUGCGCAAUGGGGGAAACCCUGACGCACCAACGCCGCGGGGAGGAUGAAGUCCUUUGGGACGUAAACUCCUUUCGACCGGGACGAUAAUGACGGUACCGGUGGAAGAAGCCCCGGCUAACUCUGUGCCAGCAGCCGCUUUAAUACAGGGGGGGCGAGCGUUGUGCGGAAUUAUUGGGCGUACAGGGCGCGGAUGCUGUGCGGUAAGUCACCUGUGAAACCUCUGGGCUUAACCCAGAGCCUGCACGCGAAACUGCCGUGCUAGAGUGUGGGAGAGGUGCGUGGAAUUCCCGGUGUAUCGGUGAAAUGCGUAGAUAUCGUGAGGAACACCUGUGGCGAAAGCGGCGCACUGGACCACUACUGAUGCUGAGGCGCGAAAGCUAGGGCAGCUACAUCAUUAGAUACUCUGGUAGCCCUAGCCCUAGACUUCGAUGCUCGGUGUGUCGGGUACCGAUCCUGACGUGCCCAGCUAAUGCGUGAUCAUCCGGCAUGGGGAGUACGGUCUCAAGACUGAAACUCAAAGGAAUUUGACGUGGGAGCCCGCCACGA
rnacentral:rRNA from 1 species